AUGUCUCAAGAACUGCGCACACAAUUGAGCGAGUCUGAGAAAGGAGAGCUAAAAGGAUCGUUCCAUCAUAUGCUGAAAUGGGCCUGGAGAUAUAAUAAAUAUCUUGAAGAACAGGCAGCCCAGCUUCACAUGUUAACUAGCUGGUCGAAAAUUGUUGAACUAGGACAUUGUGGCGGCAACGGUGGGAUUUGGGUCGGCGAGCUGCAGGGAUUUGCUGGACGCGCGCCAUCACAUGUCGAGCCACACAUAGUGACCGAUGGUGGCGGAUUAGAGUUGGAAUCCAAGAGGUUUGUGUGGUUUCAGUUAUCCGGUGAUUGGGCAAGAGCGGAGCAACAGAGGCCGGCCAAGAACAUGACCAGGGAUAACACAUCUUGCUCGAUUUCCCGAGCGACCCAAGAGCAAACAGAGUGA
rnacentral:rRNA from 1 species